rnacentral:tRNA from 1 species
GCAGCGGUAGUUCAGUGGUAGAAUUCUUGCCUUCCACUUGGGAGACCCAGGUUCGAUUCCUGGCCAACGCA